rnacentral:miRNA from 1 species
GGGGGAGGGCGAGGGUGGGAGAAGCUAGGGAAGGAAUGCGAAGGCGCCAUUUUUCCUCGCCCCUUUCUCUCGCCUUCGCAUUCCUCCCCUAGCUUCUCCCACCCUCGCCCUCGCCCU